rnacentral:lncRNA from 1 species
GCUACGCCACUGUUAUGAAAUAAAUAUUAGAAGAUAAAGUAAUACUCAUUUCUUCAAGAAUUGUUUAUUAUGCUAUAAUCAAAAAUGACAUACACAUACAUCACAAUUCUGAUCUCAGUAUUACAAUAUGUAGUAAUUACUAAACUUUCGAUUUUUCUCUUUAAGAAAAACAACAAAUUACUUUGUUGUUAUUCACUCUCUCUAAAAAUUGUCUGUCUUAACAAUUAAUGAUAAACUAAUUGUUAAGACAGAAUUUUUGAUUCUGUAUUACUGUUGAAGACAACAGUAUACGGAAUGAAAAAAAAGGAGGAGCCACAGCCAAAAAUCAGGCAUAUAUCAGAUCCCGAUUGAGUUUAAGGAAGCAAACAGAAACUCCUUGUAUAUAGGAGUAACCAAAAGAACCCUGAACCAGUGAAUUCAAGAGCAUAAAAGGGAUGUAGCAAUGGGAGAGACAGCAACUGCGCUAUCAGAGACAGCGUACACUGAAGAUGUUAUAAUAAAGUGGAAUGAGGCAAAAGUGAUAAAACCGAUAUUUAAGGAAUCUCAAGCCAUGUUGGCGGAGGGUUUGGAAAUAUUAAGAGCAAGAACCAGGGCCCAACGGUAAAUGAGAGGACAACCACAGAUAUUCCAGAUGACUGGAAAUAUCUCAUACAGAGGACCAAAAGAAAAAGAGUAUAAGAAAUACUGGGAAACGAAGAAGAAAGAGGUUAAAAUAAACGGCUAUAGGAUUAUGCUUAUUUUAUUUUGUAGUUUUGUUAUUUAUUUUUAUAAUUUUAACCAUUUUAUUUUAAUUAAUCGUUUACUUGUUAAUUUAUGUUUUAACUUUUAAAUUUUGUUCCAAAGCUCGUAUGUUCUUUUUCUGUUAUUUGUGUGUUAGAGGCCCUAAAGAUGG